rnacentral:rRNA from 1 species
UACGUAGGGGGCGAGCGUUGUCCGGAAUUACUGGGCGUAAAGGGCGCGUAGGUGGCCUGUUAAGUCGAACGUGAAAUCCCCGGGCUCAACCCGGGAACUGCGUCCGAGACUGGCAGGCUCGAAUCCGGGAGAGGGAUGUGGAAUUCCAGGUGUAGCGGUGAAAUGCGUAGAUAUCUGGUGGAACACCGGUGGCGAAGGCGGCAUCCUGGACCGGUAUUGACGCUGAGGCGCGAAAGCCAGGGGAGCAAACGGG